AGCCUUCUGUAUCCGUGCUGAGGUCUCGUCACACACCAGACCACAAGGGCUGAUGAGGCUCCCAAGAUGGGUAAAGCG
rnacentral:pre_miRNA from 1 species